UACAGAGGUCUCAAGCGUUGUUCGGAUUCAUUGGGCGUAAAGGGCGCGUAGGUGGCCCGGUCAGUCCGUGGUGAAAGCGCGGGGCUCAACCCCGCGUCGGCCAUGGAUACUGCUGGGCUGGAGCACUGUAGAGGCAGGCGGAAUUCCGGGUGUAGCGGUGGAAUGCGUAGAGAUCCGGAAGAACACCGGUGGCGAAGGCGGCCUGCUGGGCAGUUGCUGGACACUGAGGCGCGACAGCGUGGGGAGCAAACAGGG
rnacentral:rRNA from 1 species